UGGCGAACGGGUGAGUAACACGUGGGUAACCUGCCCAUCAGAAGGGGAUAACACUUGGAAACAGGUGCUAAUACCGUAUAACACUAUUUUCCGCAUGGAAGAAAGUUGAAAGGCGCUUUUGCGUCACUGAUGGAUGGACCCGCGGUGCAUUAGCUAGUUGGUGAGGUAACGGCUCACCAAGGCAACGAUGCAUAGCCGACCUGAGAGGGUGAUCGGCCACACUGGGACUGAGACACGGCCCAGACUCCUACGGGAGGCAGCAGUAGGGAAUCUUCGGCAAUGGACGAAAGUCUGACCGAGCAAACGCCGCGUGAGUGAAGAAAGGUUUUCGGAUCGUAAAAACUUCUGGUGGU
rnacentral:rRNA from 1 species